CUGACGCAGCGAUGCCGCGUGAGUGAAGAAGGCCUUCGGGUUGUAAAGCUCUUUUAGUGGGGAAGAUGAUGACGGUACCCACAGAAAAAGCUCCGGCUAACUCCGUGCCAGCAGCCGCGGUAAUACGGAGGGGGCGAGCGUUGUUCGGAAUUACUGGGCGUAAAGGGCGCGUAGGCGGUUUUGCAAGUCAGAAGUGAAAUCCCCGGGCUCAACCCGGAAAUGGCUUUUGAAACUGCGCGACUAGAGACCGGUAGAGGAUGGCGGAAUUCCCCGUGUAGAGGUGAAAUUCGUAGAUAUGGGGAGGAACACCAGAGGCGAAGGCGGCUUUCUGGACCGGUACUGACGCUGAGGCGCGAAAGCGUGGGGAGCAAACAGGAUUAGAUACCCUGGUAGUCCACGCUGUAAACGAUGAGUGCUAGUUAUCGCGGGUAUCGACCCCUGCGGUAACGUAGUUAACGCGUUAAGCACUCCGCCUGGGGAGUACGGUCGCAAGAUUAAAACUCAAAUGAAUUGACGG
rnacentral:rRNA from 1 species